rnacentral:tRNA from 1 species
CCUUCGGUAGCUCAGUUGGAAGAGCGCAAGACUGUAAUGGAUAACAGGUCGAUCUUGAUGUCGCUGGUUCGAUCCCGGCCCGAAGGA